UGCCCCAAAAUCAGAAGCUCCACUACCCUCGUCUUCCUCGAGCUCUCCCUCGAAGAGACUUGCUGGUGUGCUCCGACCACGCCGCCGUUUGAGCUCCGAUCCGCCGCCGCCGCCGUUCGAGCUCCUCGCCGAAGCCGCCGCUCGACCUCGGAGCCGCCGCCGCUGCCAUGGAGGGAUUUGGUUGAGGUUGCUGUCCAUCAUAGUUUGCUGGAUCGCUGGUUCCUAAGUGAUUCCUCAGAUUGACCCGCUCCGUGCUCUGCUCCUUACAACCCGUUCCUUGGAUUUCUUGCAUUCUGUUUGCCAAG